rnacentral:lncRNA from 1 species
CUGAAACCUUUUCAAAUACAAAAGUUCAGUAUCUUCCCCGAAUUCAUUAAUUAGGCAGGAGGAUUCAUUUGUACAGAAUAAGAAAGAGCGAAUUAAUCUUCAUAAAUUCCAAAAAUUCAUCGUAAAUGUGAAAUAUUUAUCGAAAUCAAAAUGUGGGAGAGAUAAAAAGAUGCAGGGUCGUUUGUCUGCUUGGCUGGUCAAGCAUGGGCUAGUUCAUAGAUCUUUGGGCUUUGAUUACCAAGGAAUAGAAACUUUACAAAUAAAGCCGAGGAUUGGCACUCCGUUGCUGUCAUUUUGUAUAUAUAUGGCUACAAUUAUCUACGGUCCCAAUGUGCCUAUGAUGUAGCACCGGCGGACUGUUAGCCAGUGUGUAUCAUCUUACGCGAAUAGAGUAUGGUGUAGAUCAACCAGAAGAGGUAUGCAUAAAAGUUUGCUCCAAGGAGUAAUCCUAAAAUUCCAUCGGUUUUCUGGUUUGGAAAAGUGCGAAUUUUCAAGAACGGGAAUCUUAUGAUAUGCUGGGAAUCCUUUAUGAUAAUCAUCCACGACUGAAACGUAUCUUAAUGCCUGAAAGUUGGAUAGGGUGGCCCUUACGUAAGGAUUAUAUUGCCCCAAUUUUUAUGAAAUACAAGAUGCUUAUUGAAUUCUAAGAAAUUAAUCUUCAUUUUGACCCAAUAUUCAAGAAAUAUUUGUACGUUCUUUCUCUAGAUCAAACGGAGGAAUUGAAGUCUCAUUCGUAUUAUUAUUGUGAAUGGGAUAAAGAAAUUAAAGAGUUCUGUAUCAUGAACUUUGUAUCGCGCACACCACUUCGACGGGCUCUAGCGGGUCACAGAGAGGGGAAGGAAGAAAUAAAAUAAAAAAAAUAAAAGAAAAAAGGCCUAUUCCCAGACAUCGAGCUAGAUGGAUAAGUAUGUAUGUAUCAUGAUAUGAAUAUGUAUGGCGAGCCAUAUCACUGAAUUUGUAGUGAUAGAUACUCAUAGAUAUUAAUCAUAUGCCAGGAACCAGAUUUGAACUGGUGACACGAGGAUUUUCAGUCCUCUGCUCUACCAGCUGAGCUAUCCGACCAUUUCCGACACACCGUUCUCAUCUUACUAGAUGACUUGGGUCUAUGUCAAUUAAAAAUAAACAGGGAUUAAAAGUCUUGGGAGGGGAAUUUCAUUUCUUGAAUCAUCAAAAAGAAGACUUUGUAAGUUUCAGUAUGAGCAAUAAUAUGGAUUGGGAAUCAUUAAAACGGGGAUUCCUUGCUCAAAGGUGUUCAUUUCUACAUAUAUCGUAUAGACCAUACGGCUUGUGAUAAGAGAAAAAAAUUCUGCCCAUAUCCUUUUGGAAAUGGAAAAGAGUAGGAUAGAUGAGAAACCUACCGACUUUUGAACCACUAACAAAAAAAGGAGAAGGUAGGAGAAAUGGUUAGGGAGUCAAUAGGCCUUUUUUGGGGUGGGGAUAGAGGGACUUGAACCCUCACGAUUUCUAAAGUCGACGGAUUUUCCUUUUACUCUAAAUUUCAUUGUUGCCCGUAUUGAUAUUGACAUGUAGAAUGGGACUCUAUCUUUAUUCUCGUCCGAUUAAUCAGUUCUUCAAAAGUCAAAAGAAAGGAUCGAUCAGACCAUGGAGGUGGAGUGAAUGAUUUGAGCCGGGAAUAUUCGAUUCUUUCUUCAACUUAGAAUCGAUUCAUAACAAUAACAAUUCUUUUCUUUUUCAUAAAAAGAAAUACGUAUUUGGUUGUGAUUUUUGAGUUAGUUUUUCGCUGCGUAUACAUAGUCUAUAUACCCUUAUCCUUCAUCCUUUAUCGAGUUUCGAUAUUCGAUAGAAGCAUUCAUUUGACUUUCUUUUUUCUUUACCAAAAAGGGCAGUCAACUCCAUUUGUUAGAACAGCUUCCAUUGAGUCUCUGCACCUAUCCCCCUUUUUCGCUUUCUGAACCCCUGUUUGUUCUUGGAAAAGAGAAGAGGAUUUGGCUCAGGAUUACCCAUUUUUAAUUCCUGGGUUUCUCUGAAUUUGAAAGUUAUCACUUAGUAAGUUUCCAUACUAAGGCUCAAUCCAAUUAAGUCCGUAGCGUCUACCAAUUUCGCCAUAUCCCUUUGUGUUUUAGGAACUCAAUGCUGUUCCCCCUUUCUUUCAUUUCUGCGGAAACAGUAGAAUUCCGUAGAUAUGGAUUUAUAUAUAUCGAAAGGUGUUUUGCUUUCUUGUCAGAAAUGAUUCUAUCUUUUCUGUAUCCGCAAUUCAAUAUAGAUGGAUAUAAACUACCAUAAAAUAUAUAUGCCCCCCUUACUCUCAUUUUUUUCGUGCAAUCCGGCGGAAUACUCGAACGGUCGAUUUAUUUUUUCGUUUUUUCUUACGCCUUUUCGAAUGAAAACAAAAAUGUCUCAUUCUAAUCCAGAUUCCAUUUAGCGGGAUUGUAUCUUUCUCUUUCAUUUCAUUUUCUAUUUAUACUUGCCCUUUCCUUAAGGAAGAACCUAUAUAACAUAACCAAAAAUAACUCAAAUUCCAAUUUCAAUUUAUUAAAUAAAAAUAAAUCAUUUUAUUAAUCAUUUAGAAUAUAAUAGCUAGACCUAAUCAAUAGAAUAGCUAUAACUACUCAGUCAAUUAAAUUAGAAUUCGAAGAUAAUUCUAAUUAUUUAGUCUAAAGCCUAAUUAUUUCGAAUUAGAAUAGAGCAAAUUUAGAAUUUCGAAAAUGGAUAAUAAGAAUCGAAUAUAAUAUUCGAUUUAGAAUAACUAAUAUAUAUAGAAUAUAGAAUAAUAAUCGAAUAUUAUGUAUAUUCUAUAAUAUAGAAUAAUCGAAUAGAAUAUAUUAAGAAUCUUAGGUUAGAAACAAAAAAAUAAUUUUAAAUGUCUUGAAUUCAAAAAUGAAAAAAAAAAAAAUAAUAAAUAAAUCAAAUCGUAUUUUAUUAUCUAAUUAAGAGUAAGAUAUUUAUUGUUGAUCAAUAUAGAAUUGAUAAAAAAUCCAAAUUCGCUAAUAUAUAUCAUCACUAGAUUCUCGUAAUUGUUAGAUUAAUCGUUAUGUUCUAUAUCUAUAGUAUUCAACAUUUAUUUGAAAUUCGAUUCUCUAUUUUAUUCUUUAUGAAUAGCUAAGAAUAAAAGGUUAAUAGAUAAGAUCCUAGGAUCCCUACGCAUGUACAAUUUCUCUUAUUUAAGCCCGCUUAGCUCAGAGGUUAGAGCAUCGCAUUUGUAAUGCGAUGGUCAUCGGUUCGAUUCCGAUAGCCGGCUUUUCUCUAUUUGUUUGAUUUUUACAUGAUUGAUAAUGUCUUUUUGAAAGAAAAGAACAUUGAAAAGGCUUCUUCCAAGGAUCAUCGAUCCAGUAUGUUGUAGGAGCUUCCAAUUAUGAAUAAAAGUUGGAGAAGUUCGAUUUCGGCAGAAUAAAUCAAGAAAAGGAACCCUCUUUUGAUUUAUAUUUCUAUAUGCGUAUACAAUACAAAAAGGGGUCUGGAAUUUGAUACAAAUCAUCUUAGUAUUCUUUGUAGUACAAUACUUCAGCGGAUUUUGCUUCAUUUAUCAUGUAGCUCAGUUUUAAUUUAGGUUUAUGAAAUUCAAUAAAAUAAGGAGUCUUUAUGUCACGUUACCGAGGGCCUCGUUUCAAAAAAAAUACGCCGUCUGGGGGCUUUGCCGGGACUAACGAGUAAAAGGCCUAGAGCCGGAAGCGAUUUUAGAAACCAAUUGCGCUCCGUAAAAAAAUCUCAAUAUCGAAUUCGUUUAGAAGAAAAACAAAAAUUGCGUUUUCAUUAUGGUCUUACAGAACGACAAUUACUUAAAUAUGUUCGUAUCGCCAGAAAAGCCAAAGGGUCAACCGGUCUGGUUUUACUACAAUUACUUGAAAUGCGUUUGGAUAACAUUCUUUUUCGAUUGGGUAUGGCUUCAACUAUUCCUCAAGCCCGCCAAUUGGUUAACCAUCGACAUAUUUUAGUUAAUGGUCGUAUAGUCGAUAUACCAAGUUAUCGUUGCAAACCCCGAGAUAUUAUUACAGUAAGGGAUGACCCAAAAUCUAGAUCUCUGGUUCAAAAUUAUCUUGAUUCAUCCCACCAUGAGGAAUUGCCAAAGCAUUUGACUCUUCGCGCAUUCCAAUAUAAAGGAUUAGUCAAUCAAAUAAUAGAUAGUCAAUGGGUCGGUUUGAAAAUAAAUGAAUUGCUUGUCGUAGAAUAUUAUUCUCGUCAAACUUAAACCUAACUAAAAUAACGGGCUCGUACAAAUUUACCCUUUCACCUAACUUAAGGAAAGGGAUACAAGGUAAGGAGUUUGAUCCGUGGAGUUUUUUUUUAUCCCAUUCAUGUAUCAUAGAUCCGAGGGUAGAUUUUUAUCCCCUGCCUGCCCCUUCCCUUUCUUUCCCGUAGGAAUUGAGAAUCUAGCUCAAAAAAAGGUCUGACUGCUUCGGUAUUCAUUCUUUUUUUGCUUGGAUACAUUCCGGUCAGUAACAUUGAUGAAUUAGUUCAAGGUACGGAAAGAGAGGGAUUCGAACCCCCGGUAAACAAAAGUCUACAUAGCAGUUCCAAUGCUACGCCUUGAACCACUCGGCCAUCUCUCCUACACAAUGAUUAUGACCGAGAACCCGCGUGAAUAGCGAGUUGUUCAAAUUCGAUUGGUAGAUGGGUACGGACAAUCGAAUCCGUUCUAACUAGAAAAAUAGAAACCCUUUCAGCAAAGAAAAAAUUCUUCCUUUGAGUCUGGGGAAAAGGAUAACUUUUUUGUUUGUGAAAAAACUGUUCAAAACAAAAAACAAUAAGGCUAUAUAUCUUGUUUGCAAAGAUGGCGCUCCUUUUUUUUUUUUUUUCUGAUAUUUCUACCUGAUUUAAUCAAUGAGUUGGAACGAAUCAACGGAUCGGUCUAUUUUUUUUUUUAUUUUUUUAACACGUCUGCUUUUAUGUUAUUUGUACUGUACAAUUCCUUUGUUUGUGGGAUCAUUUUCUCACAAGAGGUAAUGAAACGAAUUAUAGAAUGGAUUUUUACCUAUGCCUAGAUCGCGGAUAAACGGAAAUUUUAUUGAUAAGACCUUUUCGAUUGUAGCCAAUAUAUUAUUACGAAUAAUUCCGACAACUGUAGGAGAAAAAGAGGCAUUUACCUAUUACAGAGAUGGUGCGAUUUGAUUAGUUUUUUAUUUACCCUUUUCGGUCUUAGANUGAUGGUGUGCAAUAUCGGUCAGCCAUAGACCCCCAGUUACUGGAUCUAAUCCGCCACGAAAAGUAAGAAAUUCCGCAUAUUUUGACCAAUUCAAGGUAAAAAAUGGGGUUGCUCCUUCGGCAAAACUGGGAUAAAGUUGAGCCAAAAGAUCCCGAUUCAAGAUAAAUUCAUGAGGAAGUGGGAUCUCUUUAGGAUCUACUCCAGCGUUUAGAAAUUGGUUAAUCGGUAAAGAUACAUGUACUUGAUGCCCGCCCAAGAAAGGGACCCGAGCCCUAGCAGCCCCGUAAAUGGUGGUUCAACAUAGAUUCUACAUCCUGAAACAAGCCAAUUUUGGAGCAGCUUUGUGAUAAUGGAACCAACCAGCAAAAAGCAUUAAGGCUGCAAAAAUCAAUGCGCCAAUUGCGGUACAAUAGAGUUGUAAUUCACUAGUUAUUCCAGAUGCUCGCCAAAGCUGAAAAAACCGGAGGUUAUUGUAUUCCUCGGAAACCCCCGCCCACAUCACGUUCAAUAUUUCUUGGCCCACUAUUGGCCAAACCACCUGUGCGCUAGUCCAAUGUAGUAGGAUCGCUUAGCCAGGCUUCAUAAUUGGAAAAACGAGCACCGUGGAAAUACAUUCCGCUCAGCCAAAGAAAAAUGAUGGAGAGUUGUCCGAAAAUGGGCACUAAAUACUUUUCGAGAGAUCUCCUCCAAAUCACUGGUAUGGCUACGAAGUCGUGAGCAUCAGCAUGUAGGUUCCAGAUCCAAGUGGUAGUCUCAGGUCCUUAGCUAUGGUUCUUGAGAAAUGCCCGUUGGCCCAUUCUCGAAAGAAGUUUUUACGGGAUCCCUAUCUAACCAAAAUUUUUACUUCUGGUUCCGGCGAACGAAUAAUCAUUGAGUCCUCCUCUUUCCGGACAACACAUACAAAGAAACCCGCCAAACAGUCAGUCCAGUGAUUAGUGAACCUAUGAGAGAUGCUUAGAAUUAGUUUCUUUCUCUUCUACUUUCUAUCUCCCAUCUAUUUAUUUUCUUUAGUUAUUCACUAGAGCAAUUAUGUCUGGAAGUCGAUCCAGGGCAAGUGUUCGGAUCUAUUAUGACAUAUCCAGGAGGCGCUCAACGGACCUUUGAAUCUUUUUUAAUCUAUUAAAACCCUUUACGGGCUUAAAAUUUGUCAAAAACCCGUUUUUUUGUACAACCUUAGUGUAUUCAUAUCUCAAUUAGAGUCCCGAGAAUGCAGCUGCUACUUUAAUGGCGUAUAUAGAACAUAUUACUUUAUCAAGCAGUCAUUAGUAAUUACUAGGAUAAGAGACAUUCCUGCGAGGGGUCUCUUUAUUAAUUUGAAUAGAAUAGGAGAAAAAACAUUUUCUACCGUAUCCCUGUAUCGUUUAUCCUUAUGAAAUACCAGACGAAAUAGAACGAUCUUAGAAAGGAUAUAAUGAAAUUCCUGAUUGUUCUUCCAGAUAAAUGAUCCCUUUUAUAUUCCACUGAUAGGCUAACAGACAAUUAAUUUUUAAUUAUACCAAACGAAAAUAGAUAUCGAAAUUCUAAAGAAAUAAAAUUCUAAAUAAAUAAACAGAGAGUUUCUUAUUCGAAACGUCCCGUGAUCUUCAACCAAUUCUGCGCUUGAAUAUAAUUACCAGGAGUAAGCGCAAUAGCUUGUUUCCAAUACUCGGCAGCUUGAUUGAACCAGCCUCCGCAAUUUCAGAAUCUCCCUGUCGAACGGCCUGUUCCCCGGUCGGAAUAGGUGGUUCAAUUCCUUUCCUUAGAACCGUACUUGAGAGUUUCCCGCCUCAUACGGCUCGGCAAUCAAUUCUUUUGGUGUCCCGGGUUUUUGAAUCUAGUAUAUCGAAUUGAAUGAGAUUUCUCAUAGAUCGAUCUUUAUCUUUAUUCUUUUUUUUGGGGGGUUAACCAAAAGAGGUUAAUUCCAUGAGCAUGAGUUUUCAACUUGACUUUUGAUUAAAUUAAUAAUCAGCUUUGCUUUCAUUUUAUCUUUUCUCCCACCGUCAGAAGAAUAACAUAGAAGCAUUUCCACUAUAGUUAGAAUUUUCUGAAAAGGUAUCUAUCUCGGUUCAUAUAAAAAUUGAUAUAGAAUCUUUGAAAAAGCCCUUCUUCUAAGAAAGAAAAGGCUUACUGUCUUUGGGAUCUGAUGCUACACCGCUGCUCAAUACCUUAGGGGAUCGACUUUAUUACAUAAGUGGAUUCCUUACUUUUAUCUCAUAUCAUGACAUAAAUAAGCAGUUCUUAUUGGAUCGGCAUCGGCCCAAAACCUCGCGAAUUGAUCUUUACGGUGCUUCCUCUAUCAAUUAGAUCCUUUAUCCAUAGAAUAAACUAUCUAGGCAUAUCGAUUUCUUCAUAUUCGACUUCUAUGAAGUUUCUUUCUUUGCUACAGCUGAUAAAAUCGUUUUUGCACGAUGCAUAUGUAGAAAGCCUAUUUUUUUUUUUUCGAGUAUUUAUUAGUGUAUUUGCUCUUUACCCCCCCC